AGCGCAGACGGUUUAUUAAGUCUGAUGUGAAAGCGCGGAGCUCAACUCCGGAAUGGCAUUGGAAACUGGUUAACUUGAGUGCAGUAGAGGUAAGUGGAACUCCAUGUGUAGCGGUGGAGUGCGUAGAUAUAUGGAAGAACACCAGUGGCGAAGGCGGCUGUCUGGUCUGUAACUGACGCUGAGGCUCGAAAGCAUGGGUAGCGAACA
rnacentral:rRNA from 1 species